UGCGGAAGGAUCAUUACCGAGUGAGGGCCCUCUGGGUCCAACCUCCCACCCAUGUUUAUUGUACCUUGUUGCUUCGGCGGGCCCGCCUCACGGCCGCCGGGGGGCUUCUGCCCUCUGGCCCGCGCCCGCCGAAGACACCAUUGAACACUGUCUGAAGAUUGCAGUCUGAGCAAUUAGCUAAAUAAGUUAAAACUUUCAACAACGGAUCUCUUGGUUCCGGCAUCGAUGAAGAACGCAGCGAAAUGCGAUACGUAAUGUGAAUUGCAGAAUUCAGUGAAUCAUCGAGUCUUUGAACGCACAUUGCGCCCCUUGGUAUUCCGGGGGGCAUGCCUGUCCGAGCGUCAUUGCUGCCCUCAAGCACGGCUUGUGUGUUGGGCCCCGUCCUCCUUCCCGGGGGACGGGCCCGAAAGGCAGCGGCGGCACCGCGUCCGGUCCUCGAGCGUAUGGGGCUUUGUCACCCGCUCUUGUAGGCCCGGCCGGCGCUUGCCGACAACCAUCAAUCUUUUUUCAGGUUGACCUCGGAUCAGGUAGGGAUACCCGCUGAACUUAAGCAUAUCAAUAAGCGGAGGAAAAGAAACCAACAGGGAUUGCCUCAGUAACGGCGAGUGAAGCGGCAAGAGCUCAAAUUUGAAAGCUGGCCCCCUCGGGGUCCGCAUUGUAAUUUGCAGAGGAUGCUUCGGGAGUGGCCCCCAUCUAAGUGCUCUGGAACGGGCCGUCAUAGAGGGUGAGAAUCCCGUAUGGGAUGGGGUGUCCGCGACCAUGUGAAGCUCCUUCGACGA
rnacentral:rRNA from 1 species